AAAUUUAUUUUUCUACCUGAUGUCUGCCUAUGGAACUACUGUUGUGGGAAGUGGCGGUAAACUAUUUAGAUUGAUUGUAUGAUUGGUCCAAAAGACCAUUUUUUCUCCAGAUCUAUGAAACUGCAUGAUAAAGUUAUUACUUUGAUCUUGCUACUGACAUUAAUGCUCAAAUCUUCUUAUCAAUUUGUAAUACUUGAACUCUUGAAGUCUGAUAAAUGUUGGACUCAAAUUUGGUUGUUGCUAGAUGCGAAUUUUGGUGUCUUCUUAUAUGCUUAAUUAGAGUGCCGUUUUGAAAUGAAUUGAUAGUUUUUGGCUAUGUUGAUUUGUCAUCAGCUUGGAAAGAUGGUAUUGAUGAUUUCUUGGAGAUAUGAUCACCUUUUGGUUACCAGUUUGUAUUUAUUUAUUUGAUUUCGUUGAUUUCAUUACUGCCUAUGAACAUCUAGAAUGAGGGGAAGUGGGCAUAUAUUCUUAUGCCUCAAAUUUAAGAACUUUAUUUGAACUUUGAAAUUGAUAUUGCUCUAUCAUUCUCUAGUUUCUAUUUUUGAAGGGUGAGUGGGAGGAUAAGAGUAAAAAAAGGUAAACAACACCUGUGCAAAAGGCUAGGACAUGCAAGAUAUACGCAUACCUUAUCUCACAUAAUAUAUAGAGAGGCUUGAAAGGAAAAAAUUUGCAAGUAAGAAAAUUUUGGGGGGUAUUGUAGACAUUACAAAGCAGUCUUGAAAUCCCCCAAGCCAAAACUCUUUGUUAUGGGAACUCGAGAUGAAUUUACCAGUGUAAAGCAAUUGGAGAGCAAGUUGCGUUCUGCCUGUGGGCGUGUUGAAAAACAUCUAAUUGAAGGAGCAGGUCACUUCGAGAUGGAAGGAAGUUAGCCACCCACUGAUCUGGCCUCUGUGAUUUCACAGUAAAAUUAGGGCAUCUGUACGUGUAUGAAUACGAUCACCAAACAAGAUAGGCCUACUAUCAUACAAUCUUCUCUUGCUGAUCAUCGCUUGCAACUUUAUUGCCAUCUGCACCUUCAAGUAGCCUACCUUCACCAUCCCGAUUAAACGGCUGUUUUGUCCAGCCUUGCUCUUGGUCCUUCGAGCGUCCUGGAAAUGGAUGUUCUCCAUCUGCUUUGAAGACAGAAAAAGUUGACAAGGUUUUGUCACCAGCAAGAUAAAGCAAAAAACCCUUGCUGCCUCCUAGUGAGGCAUUAUUUGCACUGCAGAAAGGAGAUCUCAAUCGCACAAACCAAAAUCAAGCAUGGCAAUGAUCAUAAAUCCUCUUCUUUUAUGGGUCAUUGUACAAUUAAUUAAUAUGGCCAAGGGCUCGAUGCAUGACUAAAGUGACACCAAAACUCAAAAUUUCAGAUACAGAAAGCAUAUUAAUGGAAUAUUUUCAACAGACCAUAUUGGUCCAUUCUACUGAAUAUCAAGAGAAAAAUUGAAUAA